CUCCAAUACAAAAAAAACGGGCGUUUAGAUACUCUUUAAAUUCUUAUGAACCUUAAAGAGUAUCCAUUUAAAAAAGGCUUUAUGAAGAAAGCAUUUUAAGCUUUUCCAGUGAUUUAAGAUGAUACCGGGGAAGGUUUUCCGGUUUAUCCCGGAGGGCUUGUAGCUCAGUUGGUUAGAGCGCGCGCUUGAUAAGCGUGAGGUCGGAAGGUUCAA
rnacentral:misc_RNA from 1 species